rnacentral:rRNA from 1 species
UGAGGAAUAUUGGGCAAUGCCCGCAAGGGUGACCCAGCAACGCCGCGUGGAGGAUGAAUGUCGUAAGAUUGUAAACUCCUGUUAGAGGGGAAGAAUAGUACCGGUUGGACCGGUAUAUGACUGUACCCUCAGAGAAAGCCCCGGCUAACUACGUGCCAGCAGCCGCGGUCAUACGUAGGGGGCAAGCGUUGUCCGGAUUUACUGGGUGUAAAGGGCGCGCAGGCGGGAUAAAAAGUCAGUGGUGAAAUCCUACAGCUUAACUGUAGAACUGCCUCUGAUACUUUUAUUCUUGAGUUCGGGAGAGAGAGACGGAAUUCCAGGUGUAGUGGUGAAAUACGUAGAUAUCUGGAAGAACACCAGUUGCGAAGGCGGUCUCUUGGUCCGACACUGACGCUGAGGCGCGAAAGCGUGGGGAGCAAACA